rnacentral:rRNA from 1 species
GAAUUUGAUCAUGGCUCAGAGUGAACGCUGGCGGCAGGCCUAACACAUGCAAGUCGAGCGGCAGCGGGUCGUAGCAAUACGAUGCCGGCGAGCGGGCGGACGGGUGAGGAACACAUCGGAAUCUACCCAGUCGUGGGGGAUAACGUAGGGAAACUUACGCUAAUACCGCAUACGACCUGAGGGUGAAAGCAGGGGACCGCAAGGCCUUGCGCGAUUGGAUGAGCCCGAUGUCGGAUUAGCUAGUUGGUGGGGUAAAGGCCCACCAAGGCGACGAUCCGUAGCUGGUCUGAGA